rnacentral:rRNA from 1 species
AUGGCGGCCGGAGCCCGAGUGCCCCUGGCGGCGACCGUCUUCGUGGCGGUCGCGUCGACCAUGCUGCUGGCUGCCGCGGCGGCUGACCUGGACGGUGACCGUGACGCGCUCAUGGCCCUCCGGAGAGGCCUACAGGACCCUGACGGCGCGCUGCGUUCCUGGAGCCCGGAGCUGGGGAACGUGAACCCCUGCAGCAACUGGUCCCACGUCACCUGCAACAGCCAGGCCAACCGCGUCACCGAGAUAGUAAUCGGCUUUGUGAACCUGUCCGGACCUCUGUCGCCGGAGCUGGGCAAGCUGGGCCAGCUAACCAGACUGCACCUUCAACAGAACCGCUUGACCGGCCCGAUCCCAAGCGAGCUGGAUGGGCUGUCCGACCAGACGAGCGUUAACCUCUCAAACAACGAUCUGUGCGGCCCGAUUCCGACAGAUGGUCCCUUCAAGAACAUCAAUUCCAGCCUCGCCGACAACCCGCGGUUGGGCGGCAACUGCUAG